CGGACGGGUGAGUAACGCGUGAGUAACCUGCCUUACACAAGGGGAUAGCCGUUGGAAACGACGAAUAAUACCCUAUGAAACUAUCACUUCGCAUGAAGCGAUAGUCAAAGUGUUAGCGGUGUAAGAUGGACUUGCGUCUGAUUAGCUAGUUGGUGAGAAAAAGCCCACCAAGGCAACGAUCAGUAGCCGGCUUGAGAGAGUAUACGGCCACAUUGGGACUGAGACACGGCCCAG
rnacentral:rRNA from 1 species